rnacentral:rRNA from 1 species
GAUAAACGCUGGCGGCGUGCCUAAUGCAUGCAAGUCGAACGGGUCGCAGCUUCGGCUGUGGUCAGUGGCGGACGGGUGAGGAACACGUACGCAACCUGCCCUCUGGUGGGGAAUAACCCUUCGAAAGAGGGGCUAAUGCCGCAUCCGCUCACCUGGGUAAGGCUGGGUGAGGAAAGCCCGUGAGGGCGCUGGAGGAGGGGCGUGCGGCCGAUUAGCUAGUUGGUGGGGUAACGGCCNCCCAAGGCGGUGAUCGGUAGCUGGUCUGAGAGGAUGAUCAGCCACACUGGGACUGAGAGACGGCCAGACUCCUACGGGAGCAGCAGC